GCCGAGGUGGCGGAAUGGCAGACGCGCAGGUCUCAAAAACCUGUGAGCCUCAAAGCUCGUGUGGGUUCGACUCCCACUCUCGGCA
rnacentral:tRNA from 1 species